rnacentral:lncRNA from 1 species
CAUUAAAGAUUACUUGGGAGCAUAAUUAGGAAGAAGAAAUAUCUCAUUAUGACGGCCACAAAGGAGAAGAAGUUGUCUAGAGCUAAGCUUCUUUUGAAUGUGUCAAAGAACAUGUCGCCUCCCAGCUCCCCGAUCUUAAUCCUUUGGAUUAUUCCAUAUAGGCAAAGGUCGAAGGAGUUGUCUGCAACAACCCUGGAAGGUCUGUAAGAUCUUUGGAGUUCACCAUCUAAACCAAAUGGGUUGACUUGUCAGAAAACUACAUGCAUAAUGUUUUGCAGCCUUCAGGGCGUCUUUGAGUCUGAGUAUAGGUCACAAAAAGGUCAAACACUGUGUAUGGGAAAAAUAGAAGCGAGUAGCGAGAUACCAACAUACAUAUUAUGUACCCACUACUCACAUAUAUGUACAUCGUCUUUCAUAUAGUUGGAGCAAUAAAAACAUUGCUUACAUAGUUUCAUUCGUCUGCGUUUUUAUGUAAAACAAUAAUUAUUAUUGGUAAAAGGGAUUUUGAUGUCAAAUCUUUUGAUAUUGAAGUGUGUUUCACACAA